GACGAACGCUGGCGGCGUGCCUAACACAUGCAAGUCGAACGGAAAGGCCCUGCUUUUGCGGGGUGCUCGAGUGGCGAACGGGUGAGUAACACGUGAGUAACCUGCCCUUGACUUUGGGAUAUCUUCAGGAAACUGGGGCUAAUACCGGAUAGGAGCUCCUGCUGCAUGGUGGGGGUUGGAAAGUUUCGGCUGUGGGGGAUUGACUCGCGGCUUAUCAGCUUGUUGGUGGGGUGGUUGCUUACCAAGGCUUUGACGGGUAGCCGGCCUGUGAGGGUGACCGGCGACAUUGGGACUGAGAGACGGCCCAGACUGCGACGGUAGGCAGCAGGGGGGAAGAUUGCACAAUGGGCGGAAGCCUGGUGCAGCAGCGCCGCGUGCGGGAAGACGGCCUACGGGGUGUGAACCGCUUUUGCCUUAGACGAAGCGUGAGUGACAGUAAUGAAUAAAGAAGCACCGGCUAACUACGUG
rnacentral:rRNA from 1 species